rnacentral:rRNA from 1 species
ACCGGAUUAGAUACCCUGGUACUCUACACCGUAAACGAUGAGUGCUAAGUGUUAGAGGGUUUCCGCCCUUUAGUGCUGCAGCAAACGCAUUAAGCACUCCGCCUGGGGAGUACGGCCGCAAGGCUGAAACUCAAAGGAAUUGACGGGGGCCCGCACAAGCGGUGGAGCAUGUGGUUUAAUUCGAAGCAACGCGAAGAACCUUACCAGGUCUUGACAUCUCCUGACAACCCUAGAGAUAGGGCGUUCCCCUUCGGGGGACAGGAUGACAGGUGGUGCAUGGUUGUCGUCAGCUCGUGUCGUGAGAUGUUGGGUUAAGUCCCGCAACGAGCGCAACCCUUGAUCUUAGAUGCCAGCAUUCAGUUGGGCACUCUAAGGUGACUGCCGGUGACAAACCGGAGGAAGGUGGGGAUGACGUCAAAUCAUCAUGCCCCUUAUGACCUGGGCUACACACGUGCUACAAUGGAUGGUACAAAGGGCUGCAAGACCGCGAGGUUAAGCGAAUCCCAUAAAACCAUUCUCAGUUCGGAUUGCAGGCUGCAACUCGCCUGCAUGAAGCUGGAAUCGCUAGUAAUCGCGGAUCAGCAUGCCGCGGUGAAUACG